GACGAACCGUGCGAACGUUGUUCGGAAUCACUGGGCUUAAAGGGCGCGUAGGUGGUCUGCCAAGUCCGGGGUGAAAGCCUCCAGCUCAACUGGAGAAGUGCCUCGGAUACUGGCGGACUCGAGGGAGGCAGGGGUCGUGGGAACUUCCGGUGGAGCGGUGAAAUGCGUUGAUAUCGGAAGGAACGCCGGUGGCGAAAGCGCACGACUGGUCCUCUUCUGACACUGAGGCGCGAAAGCCAGGGGAGCAAACGGG
rnacentral:rRNA from 1 species